CCUACGGGUGGCAGCAGUGAGGAAUAUUGGUCAAUGGGCUUACGCCUGAACCAGCCAAGUCGCGUGAGGGAAGACUGCCCUAUGGGUUGUAAACUUCUUUUAUAUGGGAAUAAAACGUUCCACGUGUGGGAUUUUGUAUGUACCAUAUGAAUAAGGAUCGGCUAACUCCGUGCCAGCAGCCGCGGUAAUACGGAGGAUCCGAGCGUUAUCCGGAUUUAUUGGGUUUAAAGGGAGCGUAGGUGGAUUGUUAAGUCAGUUGUGAAAGUUUGCGGCUCAACCGUAAAAUUGCAGUUGAAACUGGCAGUCUUGAGUACAGUAGAGGUGGGCGGAAUUCGUGGUGUAGCGGUGAAAUGCUUAGAUAUCACGAAGAACUCCGAUUGCGAAGGCAGUUCACUGGACUGCAACUGACACUGAGGCUCGAAAGUGUGGGUAUCAAACAGGAUUAGAUACCCCUGUAGUC
rnacentral:rRNA from 1 species